CGUGUAGGCGGUCAGGUAAGUGGAAUGUGAAAUGCCCCGGCUCACCCGGGGACCGGCAUCCCAAACUGCCUGGCUUGAGUAUGGGAGGGGAUGGAGGAAUUCCUGGUGUAGCGGUGAAAUGCGUAGAUAUCAGGAGGAACACCGGUGGCGAAGGCGUCCAUCUGGCCCAAUACUGACGCUGAGGCGCGAAAAGCUAGGGGGAGCAAAACGG
rnacentral:rRNA from 1 species